rnacentral:rRNA from 1 species
GUAUCAGAAGUGCGAAUGCUGACAUGAGUAACGAUAAAGGGGGUGAAAAACCUCCUCGCCGGAAGACCAAGGGUUCCUGUCCAACGUUAAUCGGGGCAGGGUAAGUCGACCCCUAAGGCGAGGCCGAAAGGCGUAGUCGAUGGGAAACGGGUUAAUAUUCCCGUACUUCUUACAAUUGCGAUGGGGGGACGGAGAAGGCUAGGUGGGCCUGGCGACGGUUGUCCAGGUUCAAGUGCGUAGGCUUAAGAGUUAGGUAAAUCCGGCUCUUUUUAAGGCUGAGACACGACGUCGAGCUACUACGGUAGUGAAGUCAUUGAUGCCAUGCUUCCAGGAAAAGCCUCUAAGCUUCAGAUUGUAAGGA